rfam:Macellibacteroides sp. HH-ZS contig_00007, whole genome shotgun sequence.
GAUUGCACAUUAUCCCUCUCUGCAGUCGCGGCUG